UCAGUACACGUAGUCAACAUGCCCAGGUGACGUGGAUACCUCGGGAAACUGAGGAUAAACCGCGAAUAGGUCACUACUUCUGGAAUGGGUAAUGACUAAAACCUAUAUGGCCCCUGGAUUGGACUGCGGCCGAUCAGGCUGUUGGUGAGGUAAUGGCCCACCAAACCUGUAACCGGUACGGGCUCUGAGAGGAGGAGCCCGGAGAUGGGCACUGAGACAAGGGCCCAGGCCCUAUGGGGCGCAGCAGGCGCGAAACCUCUGCAAUAGGCGAAAGCCUGACAGGGUUACUCUGAGUGAUUUCCGUUAAGGAGAUCUUUUGGCACCUCUAAAAAUGGUGCAGAAUAAGGGGUGGGGCAAGUCUGGUGCCAGC
rnacentral:rRNA from 1 species